rnacentral:rRNA from 1 species
AUUGAGCGCUGGCGGCAUGCCUUACACAUGCAAGUCGAACGGUAACGCGGGGCAACCUGGCGACGAGUGGCGAACGGGUGAGUAACGCAUCGGAACGUGCCCAGUAGUGGGGGAUAGCCCGGCGAAAGCCGGAUUAAUACCGCAUACGACCUACGGGUGAAAGGGGGGGAUCGCAAGACCUCUCGCUAUUGGAGCGGCCGAUGUCAGAUUAGGUAGUUGGUGGGGUAAAGGCCUACCAAGCCGACGAUCUGUAGCUGGUCUGAGAGGACGACCAGCCACACUGGGACUGAGACACGGCCCAGACUCCUACGGGAGGCAGCAGUGGGGAAUUGUGGACAAUGGGCGAAAGCCUGAUCCAGCCAUGCCGCGUGCGGGAAGAAGGCCUUCGGGUUGUAAACCGCUUUUGUCAGGGAAGAAAUCUUCUGGGUUAAUACCUCGGGAGGAUGACGGUACCUGAAGAAUAAGCACCGGCUAACUACGUGCCAGCAGCCGCGGUAA